rnacentral:rRNA from 1 species
UGGGGAAUAUUGGGCAAUGGGCGAAAGCCUGACCCAGCAACGCCGCGUGAGGGAAGAAGGUUUUCGGAUUGUAAACCUCUGUCCUUGGGGACGAAGAAAGUGACGGUACCCAAGGAGGAAGCCCCGGCUAACUACGUGCCAGCAGCCGCGGUAAUACGUAGGGGGCGAGCGUUGUCCGGAAUUACUGGGCGUAAAGGGUGCGUAGGCGGUUUCCUAAGUCAGAUGUGAAAUCCCCGGGCUUAACUCGGGUGGUGCAUUUGAAACUGGGAGGCUAGAGUGUAGGAGAGGGAAGCGGAAUUCCUAGUGUAGCGGUGAAAUGCGUAGAUAUUAGGAGGAACACCAGUGGCGAAGGCGGCUUUCUGGACAGUAACUGACGCUGAGGCACGAAAGCGUGGGGAGCAAACAG